rnacentral:rRNA from 1 species
CACGUAUGGGGCGAGCGUUGUUCGGAAUUAUUGGGCGUAAAGGGCGCGUAGGCGGAAAUGCAAGUCUGGUGUGAAAGACCGCAGCUUAACUGCGGGAGCGCGCUGGAAACUGCAUAUCUUGAAUCCUUGAGGGGAAACUGGAAUUCCUGGUGUAGGGGUGAAAUCUGUAGAUAUCAGGAAGAACAUCAGUGGCGAAGGCGAGUUUCUGGCAAGUGAUUGACGCUGAGGCG